GAUGAAGAACGUAGCGAAAUGCGAUAAGUAAUGUGAAUUGCAGAAUUCAGUGAAUCAUCGAAUCUUUGAACGCACAUUGCGCCCUCUGGUAUUCCGGGGGGCAUGCCUGUUCGAGCGUCAUUAUAACCACUCAAGCUCUCGCUUGGUAUUGGGGCUCGCGGUUCCGCGGCCCCUAAAAUCAGUGGCAGUGCCUGUCGGCUCUACGCGUAGUAAUACUCCUCGCGAUUGAGUCCGGUAGGUCUACUUGCCAGCAACCCCCAAUUUUUACAGGUUGACCUCGGAUCAGGUAGGGAUACCCGCUGAACUUAAGCAUAUCAAUAAGCGGAGGA
rnacentral:misc_RNA from 1 species